CAGAAAGUCCUGUUAGCAGAGCUGGGGGACGCUGGAGGAACUUGGACCAGUGGUCCUCACAUUUCAGGCUGUUUAAGAGUCACCUGUAGAGCUUACUACUGCAGAUUCCUAGGACCCUCCCCAGACCUACUGAGUCUGAAUUUCUAGGGUGGGGUCGGAAUCUGCCUUUUUAGCAGGUACCCCAGAGGGUUCUGAUGCAGGUUGUCUGCAAAUCACACCUUGAGAAAUGCUGGCUUAGAGAAAAUAAACAUUUUAGCCUGGCCUUCCAGAAAGCAGGAUCUGAGGCAAGGGCAAAGGUACUAAUACUUUAUCAGGGAGGUGAAAUCCCAGGAUGGUGAGGCUGAGGAGGAAGUGAGGAAGAUACAGUAGGAUACGCUGACAUUUUCUGUGGGCUGCCAUUUCAAAAUAAGCCAUGAAGAAUCAAGCAGGUCGCUCAGCACGUGGGGCUGCUCCAGACACUUUGCUGGGAGGAAUCACACCUCAGCAUCAUUGGAGGGAGAAGGAAAUAGGGGAAUCUGGUUCUCUCCCCACCCUACUCUGACUCUUGUUUCCUGUUGGUAAAAUUCACCCCACUGGGGGCUCACUCCCCUACCUUUCAGGAUUGUGUCAGCUGUCCCCUUGGUGGCCUCUCAGGAAGCUAUAUCCUACAGCCCUGGAAAUAGAGGGGCAGCUGGGGCCGGGCGGGGCGGACACUGGCCUAGAGAGAAAGGAAGAAGGAAGCAGUUGAUUUCUGCUUGUGAGAAGAUGCACAGGUUUGUCCUCAAUAGACUAAAGAAGUCAGCUUGGGAAACGUAGGUUUCCAGUUCCCGUAAUGAAUUACAGUUUUGAAGCUGGAUAUUAAGAAGAAAGAUUUCUAGGGAAAUUAUCUAAAUAGAGUUAUGUUAACAAUGCUAUUAACAAAGGAAGCCUCAAAUUUGUAUCCAUAGUAAAUAUCUUUAAAUUCUCCUUUGUUUGUAUUUCUUGCCCCAGAAAAACUUGAAGUGAAAGAAGACACUGAUGAUCAAAUGACAUGUGUGAGCAGUUGCAGAUUUUUCCAAAAGGGAGGCUGCAUAAAUUCAAGGAGGAAACCAGUAUUCCUUAGAAGCAUGUUUUAUGGUUGACAUGGAAUUCUUGGAGAUCUUUUUCCCUGUUUAUUUGUAGAAC
rnacentral:lncRNA from 1 species